UACAGAGGUCCCAAGCGUUGUUCGGAUUCACUGGGCGUAAAGGGUGCGUAGGUGGCGAGGUAAGUUCGAUGUGAAAUCUCCGAGCUCAACUCGGAAAUGGCAUUGAAUACUAUCCCGCUUGAGGGUCGGAGGGGAGACUGGAAUUCUCGGUGUAGCAGUGAAAUGCGUAGAUAUCGAGAGGAACACCAGUGGCGAAGGCGGUUCUCUGGGCCUGUACUGACGCUGAGGAGCGAAAGCGUGGGGAGCGAACGGG
rnacentral:rRNA from 1 species